GACUACACAGAGAAACCCUAUCUCGGGUAAAAGAAAAAGAAAAUCGGCAGCGGGCGGCGGCGUUGGCAGAAGAUGGAGGCGAUGAAGAGAGCCCGCAGCUGCCGCGGCGACAGCGAAAUGGCGGAGACCGAGAUCACCAAGCCCAAGCCGCAGAACCUGAAUGACGACGCCUACAGACCGCCCAGCAACUUCCUGGAGAUCCACGUGAGCAACCCGUAGGCUGUGGGGGUGGGCCGGGGCCACCUCACAGGGUCAAGACAAAUCUUCCUGUCUUCAAGCUGAAGGAAUCUACUGUUAGAAGGAGAUACAGUGACUUGGAAUGGUCUCGAAGUGAACUAGAAAGAGAGAGCAAGGUGGUAGUUCCCCCGCUCCCUGAGAUGGCAGCUUCCUUUUAGAGGAGAUGAUGGAAUAUUUGAUGAUAAUUUCAUCGAGGAAAGGAAGCAGGGCCUGGAACAGUUUAUAAACAAGGUCGCUGGUCAUCCUCUGGCCCAGAAUGAGCGCUGUCUUCACAUGUUUUUACAGGAUGAAAUAAUAGAUAAAAGUUAUACUCCAUCUAAAGUAAGACAUGCCUGAGUUUGGACAGAAGAGGCAGAAACAAGACCAUUAACGAUUCAUCCACACCAAUGAAAAAGUUGUAACUAACUUAGCAUGCUGCACAGACACUGGUCCACCUGCCUGGGUAUACUAACACACACUCCCUGUCAUUUCCCUUAGUUCAUUUGCUUUAGUGGAACGCCCUCGUUGAGCCUCUCUGCUAGCUCUGCCCUGCCGUGUCCCUGUGCACACUGUAGCCUCACAAGCCCCUAGAACCCGAGUGCCUCACUAAAGUUGCUGACUUGGUCUUAUCUGCAGGUUCUGUGUCUUGUUCCUUCUGGAAUCCGACUGACUAGAACAUCCCCCUACUGUGUGAUGCCUCCACUCGGUCCUCAUUUACGUGCAGGAGCACAGCGACCGUUUGUCUCCAGGGCCACACACACGAGGUGUGCUUUGUCUGCAGAGUGUGUCUUUCUUCGGGCCUGUAACCCCCUUCGCAUGGAAGAUUAAUGAAGGAAAUCUUUAUAUUCUGUAUAAAAACAACAUCAAAUUUAUAUACUAAAAUCAUUUGUCUAAAAAUUUAAGUUGUUUUCAAAUAAAAGUUGAAAUGCAAAAA